rnacentral:lncRNA from 1 species
UAUUUCAUCCUUCUGGAGAUGUGGAUAUUGAUAUGGCUGAGCAUUUGCUGGAGAUUUGCUUGGAAGAAUCAUUAUACAAUGAUCAUGCCGACGGGUAAGAGGUAGGUUGCGCGGUUCGUCAAAUAUAUCCGAAAAUUCAGCAAGCAAAGGAAGUAGAUUUGGAUCUUCAAAUUUUGUUGGCUCUCCCUUAGUUUGUUGCUCAAGUUGUAC